CUCGCUAAUGGCGGACGGUGGAGGUGGUGUUCCUGUCGCAUUUGUGAUUUCACGCUAAAUAGGAAGGAAUCGGCGCUGGAUUGUUACACAACUGUUGCACCAGUGAAGGAUGUCUGUGUGCCGCCUUGCAUUCAGUUUCUCAGCCAUGGGGGCCUGCUUGCAACACCAGUGGCAAAGCAGUCUUGCAUUGUGCUAUUUGUUCUGGAAGGACACAAGCAUUGAGGAGCCAUUUGACCUGCCACUACACUAAUACGGUAUUUGG